GCGCACGCUGGCGGCCGGCCUAACACAUGCAAGUCGAACGAACUCUUCGGAGUUAGUGGCGGACGGGUGAGUAACACGUGGGAACGUGCCUUUUGGUUCGGAAUAACUCAGGGAAACUUGUGCUAAUACCGAAUGUGCCCUUCGGGGGAAAGAUUUAUCGCCAUUAGAGCGGCCCGCGUCUGAUUAGCUAGUUGGUGAGGUAACGGCUCACCAAGGCGACGAUCAGUAGCUGGUCUGAGAGGAUGACCAGCCACACUGGGACUGAGACACGGCCCAGACUCCUACGGGAGGCAGCAGUGGGGAAUCUUGCGCAAUGGGCGAAAGCCUGACGCAGCCAUGCCGCGUGAAUGAUGAAGGUCUUAGGAUUGUAAAAUUCUUUCACCGGGGACGAUAAUGACGGUACCCGGAGAAGAAGCCCCGGCUAACUUCGUG
rnacentral:rRNA from 1 species